rnacentral:misc_RNA from 1 species
UACGAGGGGUCCAAGCGUUGUUCGGAAUUACUGGGCGUAAAGCGGGUGUAGGCGGAAUCGUCAGUCAGAAGUGAAAGCCCUGGGCUCAACCCAGGAAGUGCUUUUGAUACUGCGAUUCUUGAGUGUGGGAGAGGAUAGUAGAAUUCCUGGUGUAGUGGUGAAAUACGUAGAUAUCAGGAGGAACACCGGUGGCGAAGGCGGCUAUCUGGCCCAACACUGACGCUCAGACCCGAAAGCGUGGGUAGCAAACAGG